GUUGUUGUUAGCGGUGUUGUGCCGAGAAACGUAUGCCCGCUGAGAGUUGCAUGCACCUCGCAAAACACGCACCACGAAAAUGUACAAUUUAAAACCCAUACAGUUCUUAUUUGUUGGGCUAAACAGUGAUGAGUAAUGUUACGAAAGUAAAUCUCGGCGGGCACGCGUUUCUCGGCACAACAUCGGCAGAAGCAGCAAC